rnacentral:lncRNA from 1 species
ACCAUCAAUUUUCCCCACAUAGGCUCAGAGCCUCCUUCCUUUUCUUCCCUGCACUGAAUUCAGUGGUGGUCUAUGAACAUCAACAGAGACCCUUCUUUCCCCAGUCUUGCUGAAAACAAAUGCAAAAAAGAUGUAAUGCAGUGAAAGCAUUGGCUUGGCCAGGAAAGAUGAUGAGCGCAGCGAACAGAGGCAGCGAACAGAGGCAGCAGUUUGCGCAGUAGUUCGCGCAGAAGGGACCUUCGUUUCUGUUCCCUGUGGUGUACGUUUCCUCAAGUACGGUUGUGACAGGCCGCACAGCGCGUUCCCCAGUGGCUGUUGGAGUUGCUGUGUCAGAGGCUGGGACCCAGACCGACCCUCUGACAGCAGAUGCAGCUCUCCAGGUCUCAGGCUGCAGGGAGUGCUUGGGGCCUCUCCGGGAGGCCUGGGCUGGCAGCCAGCUCUCCUGCAGGAGGUGUGCUGCUGUUGACGAGCUGUGUCGUCAGGUAAGGGAGUUACAGGAGGAGGUCAGUAGGCUGCGCAGCAUCCGAGAAGCUGAGCAAGAGCUAGACAGGGUAUUCUCGGAGACUGUGCAGCUUUGGGAGUCCCAACCCCCCACAGCAGUGGAGUUGCCAGAGGGCUCUGUGCCGUGUGAAACGGUACAUCAUAACACUGUAGAAGAAGGCUGGAAACUGGUCACUGCUCGUAGGAGGAGAAAUGCUCCUACUCCUCCCAAAGACUUGCAGCUGAAGAACAGGUUUAGUGCCCUGCAGGAUGAGGAGGAGAUGGGCAUGGCUGCAAGGGAAGUACCUGGGACAACAGACCCUGUGCCCUGCCGGGACGCCCGGAAGAAGCGGCGGGUGAUUGUUGUGGGGGACUCCCUGCUGCAGGGGACGGAGGCACCUAUCUGCCGACCUGACCUCAUGUCUAGAGAGGUUUGUGGCCUGCCAGGGGCUCACAUGAGAGACAUCAUGGAAAGACUGCCAAGGCUCGUCCAUGCUUCAGACUGUUACCCACUGCUGCUCUUCCAUGUGGGUGCCAAUGACACCAAGGGCAAACUGGAGACCAUCAAGCAGGAUUUCAGAGCUCUGGGGAUGGUGGUCAAGGGUCUGGGAGCCCAGGUCAUCUUCUCCUCA